AGGUGGUGCAUGGUUGUCGUCAGCUCGUGUCGUGAGAUGUUGGGUUAAGUCCCGCAACGAGCGCAACCCUCGUUCUAUGUUGCCAGCACGUAAUGGUGGGAACUCAUGGGAUACUGCCGGGGUCAACUCGGAGGAAGGUGGGGAUGACGUCAAAUCAUCAUGCCCCUUAUGUCUUGGGCUUCACGCAUGCUACAAUGGCCGGUACAAAGGGCUGCNAUACCGCGAGGUGGAGCGAAUCCCAAAAAGCCGGUCCCAGUUCGGAUUGAGGUCUGCAACUCGACCUCAUGAAGUCGGAGUCGCUAGUAAUCGCAGAUCAGCAACGCUGCGGUGAAUACGUUCCCGGGUCUUG
rnacentral:rRNA from 1 species